AAAACCCUAGCCACUGUCGGAGCUCUGACGAGAAUGGGUAUUGAUCUCGCCGCCGGUGGCCGUAGCAAGAGGGUCAAGCGCACAGUUCCCAGGUCUGACAAUGUUUAUCUCAAGCUUCUUGUUAGCUUUAUCGGUUUCUUGUGCGGAGGACGGGGAGCAAGUUCAAUGCCGCGGUGUUGAAGCGGCUUUUCAUGAGCAAGACCAAUCGGCCGCCGAUCUCGCUUCGCAGAUUGAUUAAGUUCAUGGAUGGGAAGGAGAACACCUUGCAUCUAGUGCGGAUGGAGGUGAACUAAUCAUCUGAAAAUUACACACAUAUGAUGAUGGUUAUACAUGGAAAGUACUCAAGACAUUAUCAUUUCAUCGAAAAGACGUUCUUGAUGUUCAAUGGUCUGUUUCUAGUUCAGUUGAUAAUUCAUGUAUAAUUUAGGAUGCCAAUAAAGGUAUGAUGUAGGAGAUUUAAUAUAUGUUUCUGUGAAAUUGAGCGAAUGGUUGCUUAUAUGAUCAUAUUUGUUCCCAAUAUUCAGGUUCAGUCCAUCAGAUUUUGGAUGGUCAUUUGCAUUAUGUUCAAGGUGUCGCUUGGGAUCCUUUAGGCUAGUAUGUUGCUUCUCUUAGUUCAGAUAGAACAUGUCGAGUAUAUGUUAAUAAAUCUCAAGCUAAAUUGAAGGGUUAUGAGAAAUUGAAUUAUGUUUCUCAGCAUGUUAUCACAAAGUCCGAACUACAAAGACAAGAAGACUCUAAGGUUUGCAAAUUAGUUGUCAAUUGUUUUUCUCAUGUAUCAGUUGGUUCUGUCUGUGACAAUAAUAAAAUUCAUAACCAUUUUGUCAGCCUCCUUCCAAAUCCCAUCUAUUUCAUGAUGAGACAUUACCAUCCUUUCUUCGGAGAUUAGCAUGGGUACCAGAUGGAUCAUUUUUGGGGUUUAUUUUUCAGGAAGUCACCCAACUUUGCCUUAUUAUCAUUUUGGUCAUUCAAUUUCAAAACGCAUCAAAGUGGUCACUCAAGUUAUAAAGACUUUCACUGGGAAGUCACUCGAGAUUCUCCGUCGCCCAAUAGCCUAUAUGGCGGCCGUAAAAGCCCAGUCAGCCGCUGAUGUAAACAUUAUCAAGCUUACGUGGCUUGUCCACGUCAGAUUAAGUUGAUGAGUCAUCAAAACAAUGACACCUUAGCCCUUUCUUCUUCUUCUUCUUCUCUUCUGGUUCUUCUUCUCUACAUUCUUCUUCUCAGUCCUUUCUCCUUUUUCUUGUUUCUCUGAUUCUUCUUCUCUACCCUCUUCUUCUUUGUGCUAGUGUUCUAGAGACUUUUGAAUCUAAUCUCUUUUUCUUUAUUUAUUUUUUCAUGUUUCUCAAACUGUUUCCUAAGAUAAAAUGCUCUUUAUUGCCAUGUCAGUCCGUCAUCUGUUCAUUUCAUUGUCAGGAGAUGAUCAGGAGAUGAUGGUGUUUGUCCACAACUAUCAUCUCUAUUGACUCCACUGGUUGAUGUGAUUCAACUGGAUAAAUUUGUAAAAAAAUGUUUUUUCUUUUGUCAAGCUUAAGCAAGUCACCCUUACCUAGUGAAUGAUAUAUGCAUAACAUGUUAGGCAUCUCUUUUCUCUUUUGCUUUUUUGUGGGAGAGAGAGAGAGAGAGAGAGAGAGAGAGAGAGAGAGAGAGAGAGAUGAUGAUGAUGAUGAUGAUGAUGAUGAUGAUGAAGGACCUUAUAUCAUUGACGCCAUGGAGGUGUGAGGAGGAGCCUGACAAGUCGACGAUGCCAAGCUGAAGGUUACAGCUAACCCGGCGAGACCUCCACCAUGCACGCCCUCUCAAGUGCUCCAUCUCUCAUCCAAGUCCAUCCUCAACACGAGCUCGAGAUCGACCUCGAGCUCCGCUACAGCUUCCAUCGAAAUGCCCAGGUUUUCUCCUCUCCUUUUUUUUUCCUGUGGAUAAGAACCAUGCUUUUGUGGAUUUAGGGUUUUGAGAAGACUCUUCACUAUUUCGGUUGUUUCUUUUAACUCAUUUUGUUAGACAGGACUUGCAUUAAUUUCUUCAAGUCUCGAGAACAAUGGCAUGAAGAAGAAGAGGGUAGAGAAGAAGAACCAGAGAAAGAAGAAAAAGAAGGAGAAGGACUGAGAAGAAGAAUGUAGAGAAGAAGAACCAGAAGACAAGAAGAAGAAGAAGAAGAAGAAGAAGAAGAAGAAGAAAGGGCUGAGGUGUCAUUGUUUUGAUGACACAUCGACUUAAUCUGACGUGGACAAGCCACGUAAGCUUGAUAAUGUUUACAUCAGCGGCUGACUGGGCUUUUACGGCUGCCACGUAGGCUAUUGGGCGACGGAGAGUCUCGGGUGACUCUUCGGUGAAAGUUUUUAUAACUUGAGUGACCACUUUGAUACAUUUUGAAAUUGGAUGACCAAAAUGAUAAUAAGGCAAAGUUGGGUGACUUCCUAAAAAAUUAACCCAUCAUUUUUGCUAGUACCAGCUGGUAUUUUUCUACAUACUUCUAAAACAGUUCUUAGACUUAUUCUCUUUAAUUACAGUCCUUUAAUUAUAAUGUAUGGCUAGAUAUGUUCAUCUUGCCAAUUAUGUUGGAUUUUGAUUAAUUUAUUGAUAUCUAUCUUAGCACAAGUUUCCAUAAAAGUUUGACCAGAUUUAUGAGUUUAUCCUUUUUGAGGUAUCUCUUCUUUACUGUUUUUUUGUUCUG